rnacentral:rRNA from 1 species
UACGUAGGGGGCAAGCGUUGUCCGGAAUCAUUGGGCGUAAAGCGCGUGUAGGCGGCCCGAUAAGUCCGCUGUGAAAGUCCAGGGCUCAACCCUGGGAUGCCGGUGGAUACUGUCGGGCUCGAGUCCGGAAGAGGAGUGUGGAAUUCCUGGUGUAGCGGUGAAAUGCGUAGAUAUCUGGAGGAACACCGGUGGCGAAGGCGGCAUCCUGGACCAACACUGACGCUGAGGAGCGAAAGCCAGGGGAGCAAACGGG